rnacentral:tRNA from 1 species
GAGAUACUAGUAAAAUUUGUAUUACACUGCGUUGUCAAUGCAGAGUUGCAGGCUACCACCCUGCGUAUCUCU